CAGAGACAGAGGCAGAGACAUGGCACCCCCACCGGAUCCCCAUGCUGCAAUCCAUCCCUAGACUCACACGUACUUGGCAGGGAUAUUCUGGAUAAAAACCUAGAACCUUCGCACAUGGAUCAUCCCAGAGUAUCCUGUUACUGCCAUGCCACCGGCCAGCCCACGUUCUUCCAACAAUGGAAAGAAGCCACAUAAUUAAGCCUUAAGCAUGAGGGAAGGAGCUAAAGAAGAUGCCUUCUGUGGGACCAUGACAGUAGAUGACAAAGCAGAUGAAAGAGAGAAGGUCAAGAGAAGGUCGUGCGGGUCAUUCUCCAGCCUGUCCUGCAGGACUGUGCAAGACACAGAAGACAAAGAUUAAUAAGACCCCAUCUGUGCCCUCAAAGAACUCCAGACCAAUGCAUGAGACACAGCUACGAAUCAGUGCAUCACGGUGCAUCUUUAAGUGUUCAACUGAAAAAACGAACUGGCUAGUUAUCCCAACCAGUGCCAAUUCUUGCCCCACUCUCCCCCACCUCCCAGGGGACGUUUGGCAAUAUCUGGAGACAUUUUUGAUCCUCACAACUGAGGUGUCAGUUGUCGACACUCAAGUGUCGAUAGUGUAGAAAUGGAGACUCCUAGUCCUCG